rnacentral:rRNA from 1 species
UACGAAGGGUGCAAGCGUUACUCGGAAUUACUGGGCGUAAAGGGUGCGUAGGUGGUUUGUUAAGUCUGCUGUGAAAUCCCCCGGGCUCAACCUGGGAAUGGCAGUGGAUACUGGCAAGCUAGAGUGCGGUAGAGGGUAGUGGAAUUCCCGGUGUAGCAGUGAAAUGCGUAGAGAUCGGGAGGAACACCAGUGGCGAAGGCGAUCACCUGGGGUUGUUCUGACGCUGAGGAGCGAAAGCUAGGGGAGCAAACGGG